GCGACCCCAGGAUGGGCGGGAUGACCCGCUGAGUUUAAGCAUAUCAAUAAGCGGAGGAAAAGAA
rnacentral:rRNA from 1 species